CGGGACGGGUGAGUAAUGUCUGGGAAACUGCCUGAUGGAGGGGGGUAACUACUGGAAACGGUAGUUAAUACCGCAUAACGUCGCAAGACCAAAGAGGGGGACCUUAGGGCCUCUUGCCAUCGGAUGUGCCCAGAUGGGAUUAGCUAGUAGGUGGGGUAAUGGCUCACCUAGGCGACGAUCCCUAGCUGGUCUGAGAGGAUGACCAGCCACACUGGAACUGAGACACGGUCCAG
rnacentral:rRNA from 1 species